UACGUAGGGUGCAAGCGUUGUCCGGAAUUAUUGGGCGUAAAGAGCUCGUAGGCGGUUUGUCGCGUCUGCUGUGAAAACCCGAGGCUCAACCUCGGGCCUGCAGUGGGUACGGGCAGACUAGAGUGCGGUAGGGGAGACUGGAAUUCCUGGUGUAGCGGUGAAAUGCGCAGAUAUCAGGAGGAACACCGGUGGCGAAGGCGGGUCUCUGGGCCGAUACUG
rnacentral:rRNA from 1 species